GUAAAGUUUUAUUCUUGCUUUUUCGUUCAGUAUUUGCUUGUUCUAUAUGUAAGUUUGUGCGUGAAUUUCCUUUUAAUUCUAGAUGGGUUUAUAAGGUUUUAUGUUUAUUUUUCUCAUUAGUUGUUAUUAGUUAGUCAAGUGUCCUUGUAUCUAGUAAUUCAUGUUUAAGUUUCGGUUAAAUUUUGUGCCAGCAGCCGCGGUUAUACCUUGGAGGCUUUUGAAUGUGUUUGGCGUUGUAUAGUUAUAUUUUAUUUUGUGAUUUUGUUUUGGUGAUUAUUAGGUGAAAUUUUUAUUGUUAUUAUUUGUCUUUUUUUGUUUUGGAGGCUAUGAAAUUCUUUUUGUAAACUAGGAUUAGAUACCCUAUUAUUUUGGAAUGUUAAUUGUUUUAUGUGCUUGAGUAGUAUUAGUUAUGUUCUUGAAACUUAAAGAAUUUGGCGGUAUCUCAUUCCUUCCAGAGGAAUCUGUCUCGUUAUCGAUAGUCCGCGUUGGACCUUACUUAGGAUUAUAUUGGUUUGUAUACCGCCGUUUAUUGAUUAUCUUUUUAGAGUGUUUAAUUUUCUGGUUUCUUUAUUUUGAUUUAUUUCAGGUCAAGGUGCAGCUUAUUUUUAAGUGAAUGAUGGAUUACAUUUUUAUUUGUUUUUGGAUUAUUGAUUUUAAUAUUGAUAUGAAAUUGGAUUUGGUUGUAAUUGUUUGCAGAUUGUUAUUAUGAUAUUGGUUCUGGGAUAUGCACACAUCGCCCGUCGCUCUCGUUUUUGUUAAUGAGAUAAGUCGUAACAAAGUGGUUGUACCGGAAGGUGCAGCUGGAUUGAU
rnacentral:ncRNA from 1 species